rnacentral:lncRNA from 1 species
UCUUAUCAAGUUUCACUCUCAACCAUUUCCAUUUUCAGCAAGUAUGGCUCGUUCUACUUCUUUUGUUUGCACCUUUUUUGUCCUUCUUUUGCUUCUAGUUGUGACUGGUAGGUCUUUCUUCUUACUUAACAAUAUCCUAACUCUCUCCUAUUUAUAUCAUAACUCGAUUUUCUAUUCAUUAUGGGUAUAGUUCUUCUUUUACUGUUUAAUUGUGGUAUUGUUUUUAUGACAGAAGCAGAAAUGGGUCAAGCAACACAAGCAAACAAAUGUAUAGUUACGUAUGGUCGAAUCUCGUGUAGAGGUGAUAUACCAUGUAAUAAUUUAUGUCUAAAUAACGGCUACCUUGGAG